rnacentral:rRNA from 1 species
CGUAACACGUGAGCAACCUGCCGUCUGGUGGGGGAUAGCCGGCCUAACGGCCGGGUAAUACCGCGUACGACCCUGUUUUCUCAUGGAGGCAGGGUGAAAGCGGGCGCAAGCUCGCGCCGGACGAGGGGCUCGCGGCCUAUCAGCUUGUUGGUGAGGUAACGGCUCACCAAGGCGACGACGGGUAGCUGGUCUGAGAGGAUGAUCAGCCACAUUGGGACUGAGAUACGGCCCAG